CGGAGGGUGCAAGCGUUGUCCGGAUUUAUUGGGUUUAAAGGGUGCGUAGGUGGCUAUUUAAGUCAGUGGUGAAAUCCUGCAGCUCAACUGUAGAACAGCCAUUGAUACUGAAUAGCUUGAGUACAGACGAGGUAGGCGGAAUUUAUGGUGUAGCGGUGAAAUGCAUAGAUACCAUAAAGAACCCCUAUUGCGAAGGCAGCUUACUAGGCUGUAACUGACGCUGAGGCACGAAAGCGUGGGGAUCAAACAGGAUUAGAUACCCUGGUAGUCCACGCCGUAAACGAUGAUUACUCGAUGUUCGCGAUAUACAGUGAGCGUCCAAGCGAAAGCGUUAAGUAAUCCACCUGGGAAGUACGAUCGCAAGAUUG
rnacentral:rRNA from 1 species